UCAAGUUGUCGACCUCCUUCCUCAGGUCUUCAACCACGCUAUCCGUCGAUUCACAGCUUUGUUGGAUCCCAUCGCGAAACUGAUCUGCCCCAUCUUUCAGGCGAUAGAUCUCUGUGAUGAGAUCUGCCAUUUCCAAUGGAUCAUCGGUCACGCCGAUUAGCGCCUCCAACCGUGCAACUCUGUCACGCAAGUCUGAUGUAGACCCGCCCGCCAUGUGCAAGAGUUACAACCUGCUCCGCUCAAUUUUGAGGGUUUUUGAUGAAGUUAGACUUGAUUUUGGCUGAAUUCGACGACAUGACAUAUAUUACAUUGCAACAAUUGUA
rnacentral:lncRNA from 1 species